UGCAAGAACCUGUGAUUAAUCUUCAGUA
rnacentral:piRNA from 1 species